rnacentral:rRNA from 1 species
GUAGGUGGCAAGCGUUGUCCGGAAUUAUUGGGCGUAAAGCGCGCGCAGGCGGUUCUUUAAGUCUGAUGUGAAAGCCCACGGCUCAACCGUGGAUGGUCAUUGGAAACUGGAGAACUUGAGUACAGAAGAGGAAAGCGGAAUUCCACGUGUAGCGGUGAAAUGCGUAGAGAUGUGGAGGAACACCAGUGGCGAAGGCGGCUUUCUGGUCUGUAACUGACGCUGAGGCGCGAAAGCGUGGGGGAGCAAACAGGAUUAGAUACCCUGGUAGUCCACGCCGUAAACGAUGAGUGCUAAGUGUUAGGGGGUUUCCGCCCCUUAGUGCUGCAGCUAACGCAUUAAGCACUCCGCCUGGGAGUACGGCCGCAAGGCUG